GACGGGGGGGGGCAAGUGUUCUUCGGAAUGACUGGGCGUAAAGGGCACGUAGGCGGUGAAUCGGGUUGAAAAGUGAAAGUCGCCAAAAAAGUGGCGGAAUGCUCUCGAAAACCAAUUCACUUGAGUGAGACAGAGGAGAGUGGAAUUUCGUGUGUAGGGGUGAAAUCCGUAGAUCUACGAAGGAACGCCAAAAGCGAAGGCAGCUCUCUGGGUCCCUACCGACGCUGGGGUGCGAAAGCAUGGGGGAGCGAACAGG
rnacentral:rRNA from 1 species